CCUACGGGUGGCAGCAGUGAGGAAUAUUGGUCAAUGGUCGGGAGACUGAACCAGCCAAGCCGCGUGAGGGAUGAAGGUACAGAGUAUCGUAAACCUCUUUUGUCAGGGAACAAAGGCGGGGACGUGUCCCCGGAUGAGUGUAGCUGAAGAAAAAGCAUCGGCAAACUCCGUGCCAUCAGCCGCGGUAAUACUAGGGAUGCGGGGGUUGUCCGGAUUUAUUGGGUUAAAAGGGUGCGCAGGCGGUCUGUUAAGUCAGCGGUCAAAGCCAGGGGCUCAACCCCGGCCCGCCGUUGAAACUGGCAGUCUCGAGUUGGAGAGAAGUAUGCGGAAUGCGCGGUGUAGCGGUGAAAUGCAUAGAUAUCGCGCAGAACUCCGAUUGCGAAGGCAGCAUGCCGGCUCCACACUGACGCUGAGGCACGAAAGCGUGGGUAUCGAACAGGAUUAGAUACCCCGGUAGUC
rnacentral:rRNA from 1 species